AAGUGAUUGUAAUCCAUAGGAAAAUGUUUCAACGUGCGCAAGAGUUGUGGCGGCGGGCAGAGGACUACCACAAAUGCAAAAUCCCCCCUUCUGCAAGAAAGCCUCUUUGCAACUGGGUCAGAAUGGCGGCAGCGGAGAAUCGUCAUUCUUCAGGAUUGCCCUACUGGCCCUACCUCACAGCUGAAACUUUAAAAAACAGGAUGGGCCACCAGCCACCUCCUCCAACUCAACAGCAUUCUAUAACUGAUAACCCCCUGAGCCUCAAGACACCUCCCGAAUGUCUCCUUUGUCCCCUUCCACCCUCAGUGGAUGAUAAUAUCAAGGAGUGUCCUCUUGCUCCUCUUCCACCCUCUCCUCUUCCACCCUCAGUGGAUGAUAAUCUGAAGGAGUGUCUCCUUGCUCCUCUUCCACCCUCUCCUCUUCCACCCUCAGUGGAUGAUAAUCUGAAGGAGUGUCUCCUUGCUCCUCUUCCACCCUCUCCUCUUCCACCCUCAGUGGAUGAUAAUCUGAAGGAGUGUCUCCUUGCUCCUCUUCCACCCUCUCCUCUUCCACCCUCAGUGGAUGAUAAUCUGAAGGAGUGUCUCCUUGCUCCUCUUCCACCGUCUCCUCUUCCACCCUCAGUGGGUGAUAAUCUCAAGACUCCUCCCUUAGCUACUCAGGAGGCUGAGGCGGAAAAACCACCCAAACCCAAGAGGUGGAGGGUGGAUGAGGUGGAACAAUCACCGAAGCCCAAGAGGCGGAGGGCGGAUGAGGUGGAACAAUCACCGAAGCCCAAGAGGCGGAGGGCGGAUGAGGUGGAACAAUCGCCCAAGCCCAAGAGGCAGAGGGAGGCCGAGGCACAAUUACCCAAACCCAAGAGGCGGAGGUUGAGUAAGCUGAGAACACGCCAUCGCACUCAAGCCUGGGCAAUAAGAAUAAAUCCGUGGGUCGAAAAAAAGAAAAAAAUCAAAAAAUAAAACAAAACCCACACUCCAACACUCCAAAAACAAACUAAC
rnacentral:lncRNA from 1 species